GGGGCCAUAGCUCAGAUGGGAGAGCGCCUGCCCUGCAAGCAGGAUGUCGCCGGUUCGAUCCCGGCUGGCUCCACCA
rnacentral:tRNA from 1 species